rnacentral:rRNA from 1 species
UGUAAUGGGGUUAAAGUACAGUACCGAAGCUACGGAUUUAGUCAUGACUUCGAUCAUGAUCGAGUGGUAGGCGAGCAUUCCAUUUGCUGCGAAGGUCGACGGUAACGACGGCUGGAGCGUAUGGAAGAGCUUAUGCAGGCUUGAGUAGCGAUAAAACAGGUGAAAAACCUGUUCGCCGUAAGCCCAAGGGUUCCUGGGUCAAGUUCAUCUUCCCAGGGUUAGUCGGUCCCUAAGCCGAGGCAGAAAUGCGUAGGUGAUGGAUAGCGAGUUAAUAGUCUCGCACCGCGACGGAUGGUUUCUACAGGAAGGACGAAGAAAGGUAGCCGAGCCGGACACUGGAUGUUCCGGUUCAAGCCCGUAGGAAGAGUGACUAGGAGGCCUAGUGCCACAAACGGUCAUUCAAUUCCGAGAGGGGAUGAGGAGAGCGCUAUGCGCUCAUGAACUCGGUGAUCCUCAGCUUCCGAGAAAAGCUCCGGUAGAGUUAACCGCUGUCGCGACCGUACCGCAAACCGACACAGGUGGGCGGGGAGAAUAUCCCAAGGCGCAUGAGAGAACCCUGCUUAAGGAACUCGCAAAAUGACACCGUAACUUCGGGAGAAGGUGUGCCCUCAUUACGUGAAGCGCGAAUGCGUGGAGCGGACGGGGGUUGCAGAGAAUCGGGGGUAGCGACUGUUUAUCAAAAACACAGCACUCUGCGAAGUCGCAAGACGACGUAUAGGGUGUGAUGCCUGCCCGGUGCUGGAAGGUUAAAGAGAGGAGUCAACGCAAGUGAAGCUCCGAACUGAAGCCCCAGUAGACGGCGGCCGUAACGAUAACGGUCCUAAGGUAGUGAAAUUCCUUGUCGGGUAAGUUCCGACCUGCACGAAUGGCAUAACGACUUCCCCACUGUCUCGAGCAGGGACUCAGCGAAGUAGCACUAGGGGUGAAGAUACCCUUUACCCACGGCAGGACGGAAAGACCCCGUGAACCUUCACUACAGUUUGACAUUGGUUUUCGAAGUAAUUUGCGUAGGAUAGGUGGGAGGCUAUGAAACCCGGGUUCCGGCUCGGGUAGAGCCAACGUUGAAAUACCACCCUGAUUGGUUUGGAAACCUAACCUGCACCCGUAAGCCGGGUGGGGGACACUGUCUGAUGGGUAGUUUGACUGGGGCGGUCGCCUCCCAAAGAGUAACGGAGGCGCGCGAUGGUUCCCUCAGCCUGAUUGGAAACCAGGCGUCGAGUGUAAAGGCACAAGGGAGCUUGACUGCGAGACUGACGGGUCGAGCAGGUACGAAAGUAGGUCUUAGUGAUCCGGUGGCUCCAUAUGGAAGGGCCAUCGCUCAACGGAUAAAAGGUACUCCGGGGAUAACGAAA